UGGAGGUGAUGAACUGACUUGGCCUGACCUUAAGAAAUGGAGGCAAAAAACUGGUUUAAUGAGCCUGAUCC